GGUUAAGCGACUAAGCGUACACGGUGGAUGCCCUGGCAGUCAGAGGCGAUGAAGGACGUGCUAAUCUGCGAAAAGCGUCGGUAAGGUGAUAUGAACCGUUACAGCCGGCGAUGUCCGAAUGGGGAAACCCAGUGUGAUUCGUCACACUAUCGUUAACUGAAUACAUAGGUUAACGAGGCGAACCGGGGGAACUGAAACAUCUAAGUACCCCGAGGAAAAGAAAUCAACCGAGAUUCCCCCAGUAGCGGCGAGCGAACGGGGAGCAGCCCAGAGUCUGAAUCAGCUUGUGUGUUAGUGGAACGGUCUGGAAAGUCCGACGGUACAGGGUGAUAGUCCCGUACACCAAAAUGCACAGGUUGUGAACUCGAAGAGUAGGGCGGGACACGUGGUAUCCUGUCUGAAUAUGGGGGGACCAUCCUCCAAGGCUAAAUACUCCUGACUGACCGAUAGUGAACCAGUACCGUGAGGGAAAGGCGAAAAGAACCCCGGCGAGGGGAGUGAAAAAGAACCUGAAACCGUGUACGUACAAGCAGUGGGAGCACCUUCGGGUGUGACUGCGUACCUUUUGUAUAAUGGGUCAGCGACUUAUAUUCUGUAGCAAGGUUAACCGUAUAGGGGAGCCGCAGGGAAACCGAGUCUUAACUGGGCGUUAAGUUGCAGGGUAUAGACCCGAAACCCGGUGAUCUAGCCAUGGGCAGGUUGAAGGUUGGGUAACACUAACUGGAGGACCGAACCGACUAAUGUUGAAAAAUUAGCGGAUGACUUGUGGCUGGGGGUGAAAGGCCAAUCAAACCGGGAGAUAGCUGGUUCUCCCCGAAAGCUAUUUAGGUAGCGCCUCGUGAACUCAUCUUCGGGGGUAGAGCACUGUUUCGGCUAGGGGGUCAUCCCGACUUACCAACCCGAUGCAAACUACGAAUACCGAAGAAUGUUAUCACGGGAGACACACGGCGGGUGCUAACGUCCGUCGUGAAGAGGGAAACAACCCAGACCGCCAGCUAAGGUCCCAAAGUCACAGUUAAGUGGGAAACGAUGUGGGAAGGCACAGACAGCCAGGAUGUUGGCUUAGAAGCAGCCAUCAUUUAAAGAAAGCGUAAUAGCUCACUGGUCGAGUCGGCCUGCGCGGAAGAUGUAACGGGGCUAAACUGUGCACCGAAGCUGCGGCAGCGACACUAUGUGUUGUUGGGUAGGGGAGCGUUCUGUAAGCCUGCGAAGGUGGCCUGUGAGGGUUGCUGGAGGUAUCAGAAGUGCGAAUGCUGACAUAAGUAACGAUAAUGCGGGUGAAAAGCCCGCACGCCGGAAGACCAAGGGUUCCUGUCCAACGUUAAUCGGGGCAGGGUGAGUCGACCCCUAAGGCGAGGCCGAAAGGCGUAGUCGAUGGGAAACAGGUUAAUAUUCCUGUACUUGGUGUUACUGCGAAGGGGGGACGGAGAAGGCUAUGUUAGCCGGGCGACGGUUGUCCCGGUUUAAGCAUGUAGGCGGAGGUUCCAGGUAAAUCCGGUACCUUUUAACGCUGAGGUGUGAUGACGAGGCACUACGGUGCUGAAGUAACAAAUGCCCUGCUUCCAGGAAAAGCCUCUAAGCAUCAGGUAACAUUAAAUCGUACCCCAAACCGACACAGGUGGUCAGGUAGAGAAUACCAAGGCGCUUGAGAGAACUCGGGUGAAGGAACUAGGCAAAAUGGUGCCGUAACUUCGGGAGAAGGCACGCUGAUAUGUAGGUGAAGCCCCUGCGGGUGGAGCUGAAAUCAGUCGAAGAUACCAGCUGGCUGCAACUGUUUAUUAAAAACACAGCACUGUGCAAACACGAAAGUGGACGUAUACGGUGUGACGCCUGCCCGGUGCCGGAAGGUUAAUUGAUGGGGUUAUCCGUAAGGAGAAGCUCUUGAUCGAAGCCCCGGUAAACGGCGGCCGUAACUAUAACGGUCCUAAGGUAGCGAAAUUCCUUGUCGGGUAAGUUCCGACCUGCACGAAUGGCGUAAUGAUGGCCAGGCUGUCUCCACCCGAGACUCAGUGAAAUUGAACUCGCUGUGAAGAUGCAGUGUACCCGCGGCAAGACGGAAAGACCCCGUGAACCUUUACUAUAGCUUGACACUGAACAUUGAGCCUUGAUGUGUAGGAUAGGUGGGAGGCUUUGAAGCGUGGACGCCAGUCUGCGUGGAGCCAACCUUGAAAUACCACCCUUUAAUGUUUGAUGUUCUAACGUUGGCCCCUGACCGGGGUUGCGGACAGUGUCUGGUGGGUAGUUUGACUGGGGCGGUCUCCUCCCAAAGAGUAACGGAGGAGCACGAAGGUUAGCUAAUCCUGGUCGGACAUCAGGAGGUUAGUGCAAUGGCAUAAGCUAGCUUGACUGCGAGCGUGACGGCGCGAGCAGGUGCGAAAGCAGGUCAUAGUGAUCCGGUGGUUCUGAAUGGAAGGGCCAUCGCUCAACGGAUAAAAGGUACUCCGGGGAUAACAGGCUGAUACCGCCCAAGAGUUCAUAUCGACGGCGGUGUUUGGCACCUCGAUGUCGGCUCAUCACAUCCUGGGGCUGAAGUAGGUCCCAAGGGUAUGGCUGUUCGCCAUUUAAAGUGGUACGCGAGCUGGGUUUAGAACGUCGUGAGACAGUUCGGUCCCUAUCUGCCGUGGGCGCUGGAGAAUUGAGGGGGGCUGCUCCUAGUACGAGAGGACCGGAGUGGACGCAUCACUGGUGUUCGGGUUGUCAUGCCAAUGGCAUUGCCCGGUAGCUAAAUGCGGAAGAGAUAAGUGCUGAAAGCAUCUAAGCACGAAACUUGCCCCGAGAUGAGUUCUCCCUGAGACUUUAAGUCUCCUGAAGGAACGUUAAAGACGAUGACGUUGAUAGGUCGGGUGUGUAAGCGUAGCGAUACGUUGAGCUAACCGAUACUAAUGAACCGUGAGGCUUAACCUU
rnacentral:rRNA from 1 species